rnacentral:tRNA from 1 species
GCCCGGCUAGCUCAGUCGGUAGAGCAUGAGACUCUUAAUCUCAGAGUCAUGGGUUGGGGCCUCACGUUGGGCG